AGUUUCAACAAAUUACCCACCUCUCUCUCUCUGUGUUAUCCGUACAAGUGUCCCUCCUCCGACGGCCUCCGACGUUGCUAUCAUCUACGGACUACGGCUAUGAGUUGGAUCAAAAUCUCUCUAUGUUCUCCGUACAAGUGUACAAGCGUCCCUCCUCCGGCGGCCUCCGACGUUGCUAUCGUAUACGACUAUGAGUUGGAUCAAAAGGGAGUUGUCAUCUUCUCCAGUCCCUGCCUCUUGCUGCAAUGCAUUGCUUGAUUCCUUUCGCAAGUCUAGUAUGAUGCAUUGCUUGAUUCCUUUCGCAAGUCUGGAGAUUUACACAGACGAACAUGAAAAGUUGUUGGGUCACACUGAAAAGAGCUGGACUCUUUUUGUGGACGGGUGUGGGAAGGAUGUUUCAGGUAUAUUAUCCAAUUGCAUGUUUCUGUUACUGAGUACUGAGGUUGGAAUUUUGUUGGCUGCUGCAACAGCUCAGGUAGACAUGGCAUAGUUUGUUUUACACAUUGGUCCUUUUAAGAACAUUCAUUUGAGAUUUAAUUUCUCCCCCCUUAAAAAUGCAGGUCGAUGGUCAUCAGGUAAGUUAAUCUUAAAUGAAUGAAUGGUUUACAAUAUAUUAAUUCAUUGUUCUAUAUGUGAUCAUAAAGUGAGGGUUUUACAUUAUACAGGAACCAUCAAAAAAAUUUGGCUCAGAGUCUUUCAGGAGAUCGCAAAUUAAAACAGGCGACAUGAGAGUGUUGAUGCUCUGAUGAAAUGUGUAACAAGUGAUGAUCUGGGGUUCAGUGAAGGAAAGCCAGUUGCAGCAAUCACUAUAUACAAAUGUCUUGUCCACUGGAAGUCAUUUGAAGCAGAAAAAAGUAGUGUAUUCGACAGGCUUAUUCAGAUAAUUGGCUCAGCAAUAUAGGUAUACUAACUUUUAAUCUUAAUCUUAUUUAUUAUAGAACCAGUAAAUUAAUUUUUGUAUGUAUCUUAAGAAUCUUACUAAGAACAGUUAUAUAUGUUUGUGUAUGUCAAUUACUUAUUUCGUAUAUUGUUUGAAAGUGAUAUAAGCAUGGCAACUAAUAAAAGGUUAUUUAUUAGUAUACUUGGUGGAUAUCUUGUCCACCCCUGUAUGUUAUAUGUGUAUUGCAAGGCUGUGCAGCAAUUUAGAUU